rnacentral:tRNA from 1 species
UCCUUGGCGGUCCAGUGGCUAAGACUCCACACUUCCAGUGCAGGGGGCCCAGGUUCGAUCCCUGGUCAGGGAA